rnacentral:rRNA from 1 species
AAGCGUUAAUCGGAAUUACUGGGCGUAAAGCGUGCGCAGGCGGCUUUGCAAGGCAGAUGUGAAAUCCCCGGGCUCAACCUGGGAACUGCAUUUGUGACUGCAUGGCUAGAGUGUGGCAGAGGGGGAUGGAAUUCCGCGUGUAGCAGUGAAAUGCGUAGAUAUGCGGAGGAACACCGAUGGCGAAGGCAAUCCCCUGGGCCUGCACUGACGCUCAUGCACGAAAGCGUGGGGAGCAAACAGG